UAUGAUGUGGACCAUGUACCAUGUUUAUUUGUUCGUCUACCAUUGUGUCUCGUCCAGUAGCUGUCUGUUGUGUAUGUCAAGUACCUGUCUGUAUGUAUGGGGAAUCAAAGUUUACUACAACAAGAUAUAUGCUGUCAAUCGAUGGUGUUAUAGUAACCGAGCACAUUGCCACAUUUACAACUGGCCUGGCUAUGUUGUUGGCCUCCUACUAUACCUUGAAUAUAAUGUACCCAAUGGAUUGUGCAUCAACACUAGAAUUUAUUCAAAGAUGUUUUGUUGGCAUCAAUCCAGAGAGAGGGAGCAAGAUUGAAGAAAAAAAAAACACUGCAAAAGGCACUCAGAAGUGCAUCCAAAGGUCUUGUCCCUGAUUAAUGCUAUCGCUGACGUUGAUUGGAGGAGCUAAAUCCCACAAGGAAGUCACACAUGCAGAUGCCACUUAAGGGAAGAAAGCACCAUGUCAAAUUGUGGUACUCAACAAGAUAAAACUUCUCUUCUUUUUUUGGUGAUACAUUUAAAAAAAUGUGUCACAAAGUCAAGUCCAUCAUGUCUGAUGAUUCAGUUCUUAGGAUCAUUAAGAUUUCUUUCAGAAGUUCUCUCUUAUUGAAGUGUACUAAUGACAAUCUAAUAUUUUUCUACAAGCUUGAUGAUGUAUUGAAAUGCCUAG